rnacentral:rRNA from 1 species
GGAGUAAUUYUAAACGGCCGAGGAAUUUUAACCGUGCUAAGGUAGCAUAAUCAUUUGUCUUUUAAUUAAAGACUUGUAUGAAUGGUUUAAUGAAAUAAAGCUAUCUCUAAAAUAUUAAAUAAAAAUUAUUUUUAAAGUGAAAAAUCUUUUAUAAAAUAAAAAGACAAAAAGACCCUAUAGAGUUUAAUUUAUCUGUAUAGACACAUAUAUAUAUAAAUUUAGUUGGGGCAACUAAUGAAAAAAAAAAUUUCUUUUUAAAAAAAAAAAUAAAAUCAUUAAUUUAAUACUAUAAAAUAAAUUACCUUAGGGGUAACAGCGUAAUUUUUUUUAAGAGCUCAAAUCGAARAAAAAAAUUAC